AUCAAAUAAGAGAACCUUCUUUACUUCUCCAAACUUUUCACAUUCUGUCCGUAGGUCUUCCCUAAUCUCAUUCAGUACUAAAGGAUCUUCCUCAAAAUCCUUUGGGUGGAACAUGUUCCUGAUGAUAACAACACGCUCAUGUCGCUUUCGAACUGUUGCAUCUUUCUUCUCAGGCCUCCAAUCCAACUGUCUAAUGAAAUGAAGCAAUAGUGAGACAUGGUUGCACCUUUC